UACGAAGGGGGCUAGCGUUGUUCGGAAUUACUGGGCGUAAAGGGCGCGUAGGCGGUUUAAUAAGUUGGGUGUGAAAGCCCAGGGCUCAACCCUGGAACUGCACUCAAGACUGUUUUACUUGAAUUCGGUAGAGGUUGGUGGAAUUCCCAGUGUAGAGGUGAAAUUCGUAGAGAUUGGGAAGAACACCCGUGGCGAAGGCGGCCAACUGGACCGACAUUGACGCUGAGGCGCGAAAGCGUGGGGAGCAAACAGG
rnacentral:rRNA from 1 species